rnacentral:rRNA from 1 species
UACGAAGGGUGCAAGCGUUAAUCGGAAUUACUGGGCGUAAAGCGUGCGCAGGCGGUUCGCCAAGUCAGGUGUGAAAUCCCCGGGCUUAACCUGGGAAUUGCGCUUGAAACUAGCGGGCUUGAGUGCGGCAGAGGGGGGUGGAAUUCCACGUGUAGCAGUGAAAUGCGUAGAGAUGUGGAGGAACACCGAUGGCGAAGGCAGCCCCCUGGGUCGACACUGACGCUCAUGCACGAAAGCGUGGGGAGCAAACAGG